rnacentral:tRNA from 1 species
GAGGGUAUAGCUCUGUGAUAGAGUACAUGCUUAGCAUGCACAAGGUCCUGGUUCAAUCCCCAGUAUCUUCU